rnacentral:misc_RNA from 1 species
GUUGCAAGGAAUAUGAUGAGGAUGUUGGAGACACAUUCCCGUGGAGAAGACAUAGGAAAAACACAUCCGAAAAUGGCUCCGUUAGGAGAACAAUGAGUGCAGGCCCGAGAAAAGUUGUAUCUGAAAUUUUUUGUGAUUCACAUUGUUCUCCAGGUCUUGAAUACAAGACUAAGAGUAUUAGUGACAAUAUACAACAUAUGACAAAUAAGUUCUUG